GUGAAUGUGUAUUUGAGUUCAGCAUGUUUCUGGUUUACACACAGCUUUCAGGGGGAAAUUAAAUAGUUUAACAAAGCCGAAGGGUUGUCCGACUUACGAUGUAUGAAUUUCAUGUCAUAAGAAAUUGGGUGCGAGCGUCCACCAGGAAUAUUUCGAUCGAAAUACAGAUUUCUCUUGAAUCCGAGAUGUUAUUUAUCAGCUGAUUAUAGAGGAGGAGUUUUGUCAUUGAUGGGUACCAACGUCAUAUUUAUGAUAUUGUGGCUGCAUCACUUUUGUUUGGCAGAGGUACAAGAGAGCCAGUAACACAGAUAAAAGAUGCAGUUCCUAAGAGAUCCAAAGUCAGCAGCACCUAAGACUUUACUGACUUUGAAUUAUCAGCAUCCAAAACAAUGCAAAUCAAAUACAGGUUUUGUCUGUACAUCUGGCAAUCUUAGGACAAUACUGGAUGGUUUUAACUAAGAACUGAUCCAGCAUGAAGACCAGUCAUGUGCCUCACCUGUCAUGACAUUAUUAAAGUACUUUGUGACAGUGGGAUGAUGGAAUAUUAAAGAAUGGACAUGGCUCUAUAUUACUGCAUCAGAGAUCAAUCAAGGUUUACUUAUAAAUCGAAGAAAAACACUUAAACAGUCAAGCAUCAUUUGAAGCUAC